rnacentral:rRNA from 1 species
GAUGAACGCUGGCGGCGUGCCUAAUACAUGCAAGUCGAGCGAACGGACGAGAAGCUUGCUUCUCUGAUGUUAGCGGCGGACGGGUGAGUAACACGUGGAUAACCUACCUAUAAGACUGGGAUAACUUCGGGAAACCGGAGCUAAUACCGGAUAAUAUUUUGAACCGCAUGGUUCAAAAGUGAAAGACGGUCUUGCUGUCACUUAUAGAUGGAUCCGCGCUGCAUUAGCUAGUUGGUAAGGUAACGGCUUACCAAGGCAACGAUGCAUAGCCGACCUGAGAGGGUGAUCGGCCACACUGGAACUGAGACACGGUCCAGACUCCUACGGGAGGCAGCAGUAGGGAAUCUUCCGCAAUGGGCGAAAGCCUGACGGAGCAACGCCGCGUGAGUGAUGAAGGUCUUCGGAUCGUAAAACUCUGUUAUUAGGGAAGAACAUAUGUGUAAGUAACUGUGCACAUCUUGACGGUACCUAAUCAGAAAGCCACGGCUAACUACGUGCCAGCAGCCGCGGUAAUACGUAGGCGGCAAGCGUUAUCCGGAAUUAUUGGGCGUAAAGCGCGCGUAGGCGGUUUUUUAAGUCUGAUGUGAAAGCCCACGGCUCAACCGUGGAGGGUCAUUGGAAACUGGAAAACUUGAGUGCAGAAGAGGAAAGUGGAAUUCCAUGUGUAGCGGUGAAAUGCUCAGAGAUAUGGAGGAACACCAGUGGCGAAGGCGACUUUCUGGUCUGUAACUGACGCUGAUGUGCGAAAGCGUGGGGAUCAAACAGGAUUAGAUACCCUGGUAGUCCACGCCGUAAACGAUGAGUGCUAAGUGUUAGGGGGUUUCCGCCCCUUAGUGCUGCAGCUAACGCAUUAAGCACUCCGCCUGGGGAGUACGACCGCAAGGUUGAAACUCAAAGGAAUUGACGGGGACCCGCACAAGCGGUGGAGCAUGUGGUUUAAUUCGAAGCAACGCGAAGAACCUUACCAAAUCUUGACAUCCUUUGACAACUCUAGAGAUAGAGCCUUCCCCUUCGGGGGACAAAGUGACAGGUGGUGCAUGGUUGUCGUCAGCUCGUGUCGUGAGAUGUUGGGUUAAGUCCCGCAACGAGCGCAACCCUUAAGCUUAGUUGCCAUCAUUAAGUUGGGCACUCUAAGUUGACUGCCGGUGACAAACCGGAGGAAGGUGGGGAUGACGUCAAAUCAUCAUGCCCCUUAUGAUUUGGGCUACACACGUGCUACAAUGGACAAUACAAAGGGCAGCGAAACCGCGAGGUCAAGCAAAUCCCAUAAAGUUGUUCUCAGUUCGGAUUGUAGUCUGCAACUCGACUACAUGAAGCUGGAAUCGCUAGUAAUCGUAGAUCAGCAUGCUACGGUGAAUACGUUCCCGGGUCU